CUUUUCUUUGAGAUUGAGAAUUUUUAGUAUAGGACCUAUGUAUUCCAACAGAACACCUCCAAAUGUAAAAUAAUAUAGUGAAAUAUUGUUACAAGAAAUGAAAUAGAAAUGACAGGAGCCUUGAUAACUGUCCCGAAGGACUCUAGGAAACAGAUUCAAUAUGAAUGUGAAUUUUAACCACUAUUUUUAUUUUUAAUGAUCACAGGAAGAAGUCAACAUUUGAAUAAAAUACUGAGGUGAAUAUGGGAAAAUAAAGAAAGUAUACAACAUCAAGCAAAAUGAGAGAAAUGGGAAUCACCAAUGAACAAAUAAUUUCAACAAAUUAAGGAAGAGUAAAAGCAGAGAAGAUGAGGUCACUGGCCAAAACAGACCACUAUCAUAAAGCUGGUUUGCCUCAGGAGUUGGAGACAAGUGGUCACUGAAGCAAGAGUGAUUUUUCCAAAUGUUUGCCAGAAUAAUUUUAGCUCCACCACUUCCUUCCAAGACUGUGUGGUAUCCAUAUGGAUUGUAAGUCAGUGGAUUAUAAAGAUAACUUGAGAGAAUCUAAAGAUGUUCAGGCACGUGUCCUUCAAAGAAACACACAUGAACAAGAGUGAAAUAAAGCUUAGGGCAAAAGCAGCCCCUCUACCUGAGGAAGUCCACUCAAAAGUCUCCUACGAGGCUGAUGGCAAAAAGGAUGAUGCCUCCACCAAUCAAAUAUGGGAAUAUUAACUUUCUUUUACCUUUUAGUUUUCCAAGUGGAAAGAAGUAACGGUUCAGUAAUGGUUCAGUU